rnacentral:rRNA from 1 species
CCUACGGGGGGCAGCAGUGAGGAAUAUUGGUCAAUGGGCUUACGCCUGAACCAGCCAAGUCGCGUGAGGGAAGACUGCCCUAUGGGUUGUAAACCUCUUUUGUCAGGGAGCAAUUGGCGCUACGUGUAGCGUUAUCGAGAGUACCUGAAGAAAAAGCAUCGGCUAACUCCGUGCCAGCAGCCGCGGUAAUACGGAGGAUGCGAGCGUUAUCCGGAUUUAUUGGGUUUAAGGGGUGCGUAGGCGGAAUGCAAAGUCAGCGGGAAAAUCGCGGGGCUCAACCUCGCUCCGCCGUUGAAACUGGCGUUCUUGAGUGGGCGAGAAGUAUGCGGAAUGCGUGGUGUAGCGGUGAAAUGCAUAGAUAUCACGCAGAACUCCGAUUGCGAAGGCAGCAUACCGGCGCCCAACUGACGCUGAAGCACGAAAGCGUGGGUAUCGAACAGGAUUAGAUACCCUAGUAGUC